GCUCGGAGUUCUCCUCUCAUAUCAGACUGAAUUCUCAGUUUUUUUUCACCAGAGCGCUCCAGUAUUGUUUCCAUAGAUCGAUUUGACAUACUGUUUUGAGAUACACUAUUCCAUCUAUGAGCUGCUCUAUCGGAGUGCCACGAGAGCCCCUCCUUAGAACAUUAUUGGAAAAUCCAUGCUAUGGUAAGUGUGCACUUGAAGUCUUUGCACACUUUCUGAAAUCCACACUGUGGAGCAGGCAGAGCAAUUGUCAAGAAAAGAAGACUCCAUUAACGUUACGACUUUUUAUUUAAAAGAGAUUAUAUGAGCAGAAGAUCUGACAACACGGAGUUCUUCAAGGAUAACGCACCUUUUCUGCCAAACGAGGUCAUAAUUGCUGCUGUACUUUGCAUCCCAAGCCCCCCCUGCAUUUUUAUCACGGAUUGCUGUCACACAAGUUACCAUUUCCUCCCCCGUUGUGGUCGGCCGAGCUACACAUUCUCUUUGUUUUAUUUUAAACAUAAAUAUCCAGAGGAGAAUGGCACCUAUGCUGGAAUUCAUUCAAAUUCUUCCUGUUAAGUAAUCCUGACCGAGCGUCAAAGGUUCAGAUGAAGGGAAUCUACGCUUCCAAGACUCAUGUCUGAACUACUUCUAGAUUCCAAGGUUUUGUUUUUGUUUUUUUUCAAAUCUCAAUUUAGGACUUGGACUGAACAUGCAGCAAAAAAAAAAAAAAGUUUCCUCAAACGGGCACAUGGCAAGAGAUCCUAAAAGCACACAAACACUUGGAGCCCUGAUCUUAAUUUAGAUUGUAUAGUUCUCUUAGUUUAACAUUAAAAUGUCAGGAAUGAGUGCAUAAAUCUUUGUUCUUUAUUUUCAAAUGCUGUACAAGCUUUUUAUUUAAUUUUUUUUUAUGUCAAUUGUAGAUGCAGAUAAUUUAGCAUGAAUAAAAGGUAAGUUAAUCUAACUAGGUUUAGUUCACCCGUAAUAUUAUAUGAAAAGUCUCAUUCCAAUCCUAUUAGACUUUUGUUCAUUUUUGGAACACUAAUGAAAUCUGACAGCUAUACUGUAUUAGACCUUGAAAUGGUAGUUGCAUAGGCUGUCAAUGGAGGGACAGAAAGCAGAGAUUUCAUAAAAUAUACUCUUCAUUUGUGUUUCAAAGAUGAAUGGAAAUCGUAUGGAUUUGGAACGGUAUGAGGGAAAGUAACUGAUGUCAGAAUUCACAUGUUGUGCUUUUAAAUAAUGUGUUCUAUAGGAAAAUUAUGUAAUUUCACUUGACUAUUGACUAUUAGUCUGUAGCAAUUGUUAAUAAUGACAGCCCUGUCUUUGUAUAAAUUUUUACCCCAUGUAUUAAAAAAAUAAUAAAAUAAUAAAAUCUU